GCACACAACCUGAGUGGUUUACACUGCAUUUGACUGCAGGUCAAACAGUCCCUGGUUCAAAUCCAGGUGCACGCU
rnacentral:tRNA from 1 species